rnacentral:rRNA from 1 species
CGUAGGGUGCGAGCGUUAAUCGGAAUUACUGGGCGUAAAGCGUGCGCAGGCGGUUAUGUAAGACAGUUGUGAAAUCCCCGGGCUCAACCUGGGAACUGCAUCUGUGACUGCAUAGCUAGAGUACGGUAGAGGGGGAUGGAAUUCCGCGUGUAGCAGUGAAAUGCGUAGAUAUGCGGAGGAACACCGAUGGCGAAGGCAAUCCCCUGGACCUGUACUGACGCUCAUGCACGAAAGCGUGGGGAGCAAACAGGAUUAGAUACCCUGGUGGUCCACGCCCUAAACGAUGUCAACUGGUUGUUGGGUCUUCACUGACUCAGUAACGAAGCUAACGCGUGAAGUUGACCGCCUGGGGAGUACGGCCGCAAGGUUG